CCCUUAGAUGUUCUGGGCCGCACGCGCGCUACACUGACGAAUGCAACGAGCUUAUAACCUUGGCCGAAAGGUCUGGGUAAUCUCCAAAAUCCGUCGUGAUGGGGAUAGAUUAUUGCAAUUAUUAAUCUUCAACGAGGAAUGCCUAGUAAGCGCAAGUCAUCAGCUUGCGUUGAUUACGUCCCUGCCCUUUGUACACACCGCCCGUCGCUCCUACCGAUUGAAUGGUCCGGUGAAGCGUUUGGACUAUGGUUUUCUGAUGGUCCGCCGUUGGAUUACCGUGGGAAGUUCGUUAAACCUUAUCAUUUAGAGGAAGGAGAAGUCGUAACA
rnacentral:rRNA from 1 species